ACGGAAGGCAGCAGUGGGGAAUAUUGGGCAAUGGGGGAAACCCUGACCCAGCAACGCCGCGUGAAGGAAGAAGGCCUUCGGGUUGUAAACUUCUUUUACCAGGGACGAUAAUGACGGUACCUGGAGAAAAAGCAACGGCUAACUACGUGCCAGCAGCCGCGGUAAUACGUAGGUUGCAAGCGUUGUCCGGAUUUACUGGGUGUAAAGGGCGUGUAGGCGGAGCUGCAAGUCAGAUGUGAAAUCCCGGGGCUCAACCCCGGAACUGCAUUUGAAACUGUAGCCCUUGAGUACCGGAGAGGCAAGCGGAAUUCCUAGUGUAGCGGUGAAAUGCGUAGAUAUUAGGAGGAACACCAGUGGCGAAGGCGGCUUGCUGGACGACAACUGACGCUGAGGCGCGAAAGCGUGGGGAGCAAACAGGAUUAGAUACCCUGGUA
rnacentral:rRNA from 1 species